AGGUGAAAUACCAUCACAAUGAUUGGACAAAACAAGAUGGCUGGUACAUGUAUUAUGGUAAACCUAUUAUAGUUAGGGGACGAGAACCAAUACCACAAAAACAGGAUGAUGACUUUUGUGAACGUGACUUCAAGUCGCGAACGGCGUUACAUAAUGUUAAA